CCUGCCCAAGAGAUCGGGAUAACACCUGGAAACAGAUGCUAAUACCGGAUAAUAACAGAUGAUGCCUAUCAACUGUUUAAAAGAUGGUUCUGCUAUCACUCUUGGAUGGACCUGCGGUGCAUUAGCUAGUUGGUAGGGUAACGGCCUACCAAGGCGAUGAUGCAUAGCCGAGUUGAGAGACUGAUCGGCCACAUUGGGACUGAGACACGGCCCAAACUCCUACGGGAGGCAGCAGNG
rnacentral:rRNA from 1 species